rnacentral:rRNA from 1 species
GUUCUUGAAAGAUCCUUCGGGUGAAUGAUGGAAUGGAAAGCGGCGGACGGGUGAGUAACGCGUGGGCAACCUGCCCCAUACAGAGGGAUAGCCACUGGAAACGGUGAUUAAUACCUCAUAAGACCACAGUAACACAUGUUACAGAGGUAAAAACUCCGGUGGUAUGGGAUGGGCCCGCGUCUGAUUAGCUAGUUGGUGAGGUAAUGGCUCACCAAGGCGACGAUCAGUAGCCGACCUGAGAGGGUGAUCGGCCACACUGGAACUGAGACACGGUCCAGACUCCUACGGGAGGCAGCAGUGGGGAAUAUUGCACAAUGGGCGAAAGCCUGAUGCAGCAACGCCGCGUGAACGAAGAAGGCCUUCGGGUUGUAAAGUUCUUUUCUUGGAGAAGAAUAAAUGACGGUAUCCAAGGAAUAAGCCCCGGCUAACUACGUGCCAGCAGCCGCGGUAAUACGUAGGGGGCAAGCGUUAUCCGGAAUCACUGGGCGUAAAGGGAGCGUAGGCGGUCAAGCAAGUCAGGGGUGAAAGGCAUCGGCUCAACCGAUGUAAGCCUUUGAAACUGUUUGACUUGAGUGCAGGAGAGGUAAGUGGAAUUCCUAGUGUAGCGGUGAAAUGCGUAGAUAUUAGGAGGAACACCAGUGGCGAAGGCGACUUACUGGACUGUAACUGACGCUGAGGCUCGAAAGCGUGGGGAG